rnacentral:misc_RNA from 1 species
AACGCACGAGACCUGCGGACCUGCGGAAGGAUCAUUAAAAAGAGUGUGUACCCCUCUGUAAAAUGAGUGGGUUACCUCCCGUCCUUUGUUGACCUCUUAGGAGGUUAUUUUGAACUUUCUGCUUCGGUGGGGUUAAACCUACCGGAACACCCUCAAAUUCUUAUCAUUUAAAAAUUGUUCAGUCCGAUUUUUUGUUAAUAAAAACAAAAAACUUUUAACAAUGGAUCUCUAGAUCGGAAG